rnacentral:rRNA from 1 species
CCUACGGGAGGCAGCAGUGAGGAAUAUUGGACAAUGGACGAAAGUCUGAUCCAGCUAUGCCGCGUGCAGGAUGACGGCCCUAUGGGUUGUAAACUGCUUUUAUACAGGAAGAAAAACUCCGACGUGUCGGAACUUGACGGUACUGUAAGAAUAAGGAUCGGCUAACUCCGUGCCAGCAGCCGCGGUAAUACGGAGGAUCCAAGCGUUAUCCGGAAUCAUUGGGUUUAAAGGGUCCGUAGGCGGUUUUUUAAGUCAGAGGUGAAAUCCUGCAGCUCAACUGUAGAAUUGCCUUUGAUACUGAAAGACUUGAGUUAUUGUGAAGUGGUUAGAAUGUGUGGUGUAGCGGUGAAAUGCAUAGAUAUCACACAGAAUACCAAUUGCGAAGGCAGAUCACUUAAUUAUAACUGACGCUGAGGGACGAAAGCGUGGGUAGCGAACAGGAUUANAUACC